rnacentral:rRNA from 1 species
GACGAACGCUGGCGGCGUGCUUAACACAUGCAAGUCGAACGGAAAGGCCCUGCUUUUGUGGGGUGCUCGAGUGGCGAAAGGGUGAGUAACACGUGAGUAACCUGCCCUUGACUCUGGGAUAACUUCCGGAAACUGGGGCUAAUACCGGAUAGGAGCUCCUGCUGCAUGGUGGGGGUUGGAAAGUUUCGGCGGUUGGGGAUGGACUCGCGGCUUAUCAGCUUGUUGGUGGGGUAGUGGCUUACCAAGGCUUUGACGGGUAGCCGGCCUGAGAGGGUGACCGGCCACAUUGGGACUGAGAUACGGCCCAGACUCCUACGGGAGGCAGCAGUGGGGAAUAUUGCACAAUGGGCGGAAGCCUGAUGCAGCAGCGCCGCGUGCGGGAUGACGGCCUUCGGGUUGUAAACCGCUUUCGCCUGUGACGAAGCGUGAGUGACGGUAAUGGGUAAAGAAGCACCGGCUAACUACGUG